rnacentral:rRNA from 1 species
UACGUAGGGACCGAGCGUUGUCCGGAAUCAUUGGGCGUAAAGAGCGUGUAGGCGGCUAUUUAAGUCCUGCGUGAAAUCCUGCGGCUCAACCGCAGACGGUCGUGGGAAACUGGAUGGCUAGAGUGCGGGAGAGGAGAGUGGAAUUCCCGGUGUAGCGGUGAAAUGCGCAGAUAUCAGGAGGAAUACCGAUGGCGAAGGCAGGUCUCUGGGCUGACACUGACGCUCAUGCACGAAAGCGUGGGGAGCAAACAGG